UACGACUACAUAUCAGGCAUAUCAAUAAGCGGAGGAAAAGAAACUAACAAGGAUUCCCCUAGUAACGGCGAGUGAAGCGGGAAGAGCUCAAAUUUGAAAUCUUAAAGGUUUUCCCUUGACGAAUUGUAGUUUAAAGAAGUGUUUUCUGUUGAAGUUUCGGUAAAAGUUCUUUGGAAUAGGACAUCAUAGAGGGUGAGAAUCCCGUAUUUGACCGUUACUUUUCCAGCUGUGUGAUACACUUUCAAAGAGUCGGAUUGUUUGGGAAUGCAGUCCAAAAUGGGUGGUAAAUUUCAUCUAAAGCUAAAUAUUGGCGAGAGACCGAUAGCGAACAAGUACCGUGAGGGAAAGAUGAAAAGAACUUUGAAAAGAGAGUUAAACAGUACGUGAAAUUGUCAAAAGGGAAGCGUUUGACACCAGUGUUGUUUUCUCGAAAAUCAAUUAAAAAAUGCUUUGAUUUUGUGUUGUAUUGACCUUAAAAGCUUUCUUCACUUUUUUCUAUGUCUUUUUAAUGCACUUUUCCGUUUAACAAGUCAACAUCAGUUUCUUUUGUUGUAAAAAGGUCAUUGGAAGGUGGCUUUCUUUUCGGAGAAAGUGUUUAUAGCCUUUGACUCCUGCAAUCGGAGAGACUGAGGUCUGCAGCGUAGAUCCUUCUUGGAUUAGAUUCAUUUGUGCUAAGUUAUAGCUUUUUAUAGACAACAUUGUUGACUAUAUUUAGUCUUGUAGCUUACUCGCUUAUGCAAUUUUACCUACGCUUAGGAUGUUGAACGCGCACAGAGUCUC
rnacentral:rRNA from 1 species